GAAUAAGACUGGAAUUUGCUUUUUAUAAACAGCUGAAUAGAAUGGGGGUGUUUGAAAAUGUGUGGGGGUCAAAGGGGUGCUGUGCUCAGUUGAUGAAGGGGAGCUGAAAAUGAAUUUAUGAUUUCACUGUGGUGGGCAAGAGAAAGAGAAAGCAUUGAUGGGCAUCAUUAUCACGUGCUUAUUAAUGAGUGGAGUAGGAAGAGUGUAAAGGGGGAGUAAAGGUGGUCUUUGUGUUAUAAUGAAUUAUUAACUGUUGAUUUUCUUAUUAAUGUGCGGAGUAGGAGGAGUGCAAAGGGAGAGUAAUGGUGGUCUUUGCGUUAUAAUGAAUUAUUAACUGUUGAUUUUCUUAUUAAUGUGUGGAGUAGGAGGAGUGUAAAGGGAGAGUAAUGGUGGUCUUUGCGUUAUAAUGAAUUAUUAACUGUUGAUUUUCUUAUUAAUGUGCGGAGUAGGAAGAGUGUAAAGGGAGAGUAAUGGUGGUCUUUGAGUUAUAAUGAAUUAUUAACUGUUGAUUUUUUAUUAAUGUGUGGAGUAGGAGGAGUGUAAAGGGAGAGUAAUGGUGGUCUUUGCGUUAUAAUGAAUUAUUAACUGUUGAUUUUCUUAUUAAUGUGCGGAGUAGGAGGAGUGUAAAGGGAGAGUAAUGGUGGUCUUUGUGUUAUAAUGAAUUAUUAACUGUUGAUUUUCUUAUUAAUGUGCGGAGUAGGAGGAGUGUAAAGGGAGAGUAAUGGUGGUCUUUGUGUUAUAAUGAAUUAUUAACUGUUGAUUUUCUUAUUAAUGUGCGGAGUAGGAGGAGUGUAAAGGGAGAGUAAUGGUGGUCUUUGUGUUAUAAUGAAUUAUUAACUGUUGAGUAGGAGGAGUGUAAAAAGAGAGUAAAGGUGGUCUUUGUGUUAUAAUGAAUUAUUAACUGUUGAUUUUCUUAUUAAUGUGUGGAGUAGGAGGAGUGU